GGCGGACGGGUGAGUAACGCGUGGGAACGUGCCCUUCUCUACGGAAUAGUCCCGGGAAACUGGGUUUAAUACCGUAUACGCCCUUCGGGGGAAAAUUUAUCGGAGAAGGAUCGGCCCGCGUUAGAUUAGGUAGUUGGUGGGGUAAUGGCCUACCAAGCCUACGAUCUAUAGCUGGUUUGAGAGGAUGAUCAGCCACACUGGGACUGAGACACGGCCCAGACUCCUACGGGAGGCAGCAGUGGGGAAUCUUAGCACAAUGGGGGCAACCCUGAUCUAGCCAUGCCGCGUGAGUGAUGAAGGCCUUAGGGUCGUAAAGCUCUUUCGCUGGGGAAGAUAAUGACUGUACCCAGUAAAGAAACCCCGGCUAACUCCGUGCCAGCAGCCGCGGUAAUACGGAGGGGGUUAGCGUUGUUCGGAAUUACUGGGCGAAAGCGCGCGUAGGCGGAUUGGAAAGUUGGGGGUGAAAUCCCGGGGCUCAACCUCGGAACUGCCUCCAAAACUCCCAGUCUUGAGUUCGAGAGAGGUGAGUGGAAACUCCGAGUGUAGAGGUGAAAUUCGUAGAUAUUCGGAAGAACACCAGUGGCGAAGGCGGCUCA
rnacentral:rRNA from 1 species